UACGUAGGGUGCGAGCGUUGUCCGGAAUUAUUGGGCGUAAAGGGCUCGUAGGCGCUUUGUUGCGUCAGGAGUGAAAACUCGGGGCUUAACCCCGAGCCUGCUUCUGAUACGGGCAGACUAGAGGUAUGCAGGGGAGAACGGAAUUCCUGGUGUAGCGGUGAAAUGCGCAGAUAUCAGGAGGAACACCGGCGGCGAAAGCGGCGCACUGGACCUUUUCUGACGCUGAGGCGCGAAAACUAGGGGAGCAAACGGG
rnacentral:rRNA from 1 species